UACGUAGGGGGCAAGCGUUGUCCGGAUUUAUUGGGCGUAAAGCGCUCGCAGGCGGUCCGAUGCGUCGUGCGUGAAAGACCCCCGGCUCAACUGGGGAGGGUCACGCGAUACUGAUCGACUCGAAGGCAGGAGAGGGUAGUGGAAUUCCCGGUGUAGUGGUGAAAUGCGUAGAUAUCGGGAGGAACACCAGUGGCGAAGGCGACUACCUGGCCUGUUCUUGACGCUGAGGCGCGAAAGCUAGGGGAGCAAACGGGG
rnacentral:rRNA from 1 species